rnacentral:rRNA from 1 species
UACGGGGGGGGCAAGCGUUGUUCGGAAUUACUGGGCGUAAAGGGCGCGUAGGCGGCCUGAUAAGUAGGGGGUGAAAUCUUGCGGCUUAACCGCAAGGCUGCCUUCUAAACUGUCGGGCUCGAGCACAGUAGAGGCAGGUGGAAUUCCCGGUGUAGCGGUGGAAUGCGUAGAGAUCGGGAAGAACAUCAGUGGCGAAGGCGGCCUGCUGGGCUGUUGCUGACGCUGAGGCGCGGACAGCGU